rnacentral:rRNA from 13 species
CCGCUAACCUAGAUCCCACAAAAGGUGUUGGUUCAUUAAGACAGCAGGACGGUGGCCAUGGAAGUCGGAAUCCGCUAAGGAGUGUGUAACAACUCACCUGCCGAAUGAACUAGCCCUGAAAAUGGAUGGCGCUCAAGCGUACUACCAAUACCUCGCCGCUAGGGUAGAAACGAUGCCCUAGCGAGUAGGCAGGCGUGGAGGCCCGUGACGAAGCCUUGGGGGUGACCCCGGGUCGAACGGCCUCUAGUGCAGAUCUUGGUGGUAGUAGCAAAUACUCAAAUGAGAACUUUGAGGACUGAAGUGGGGAAAGGUUCCGUGUGAACAGCAGUUGGACACGGGUUAGUCGAUCCUAAGAGAUAGGGAAACUCCGUUUUAAUGUGGGCGCUUGCGCCCCACCCUCGAAAGGGAAGCCGGUUAACAUUCCGGCACCUGGAUGUAGAUUCUCCGCGGCAACGCAACUGAGAGCGGAGACCUUGGCGGGAGCCCCAAGAAGAGUUCUCUUUUCUUCUUAACUGUCUGUCACCCUGAAAUCGGUUUGUCCGGAG